AGCAGCCGCGGUAAUUCCAGCUCCAAUAGCGUAUAUUAAAGUUGUUGCAGUUAAAAAGCUCGUAGUUGAAUUUCGGGAUUGGCGCAUCGGUCGUGCCUCACGGGGUAUGAACUGGUGCAGUCAAUUUCUCACCUUCUGGAGAACCGCGAUGUCCUUAAUUGGAUGCCGCGGGGAACCAGGACCUUUACUUUGAAAAAAUUAGAGUGUUUAGAGCAGGCAUUUUUGCUUGAAUACAUUAGCAUGGAAUAAUAAAAUAGGACGGCAUGGUUCUAUUUUGUUGGUUUCUAGGACCACCGUAAUGAUUAAUAGGGAUAGUUGGGGGCAUUAGUAUUCAAUUGUCAGAGGUGAGAUUCUUGGAUUUAUUGAAGACUAACUACUGCGAAAGCAUUUGCCAAGGAUGUUUUCAUUAAUCAAGAACGAAAGUUAGGGGAUCGAAGACGAUCAGAUACCGUCGUAGUCUUAACCAUAAACUAUGCCGACUAGGAAUCAGACGAUGUUAAUUUUUUAAUGACUCGUUUGGCACCUUACG
rnacentral:rRNA from 1 species